GGUCAAGUUAUUAAGGGUGCAGGGCGGAUGCCUUGGCACUAGGAGCCGAUGAAGGACGUGAUAAGCUGCGAUAAGCUUCGGGGAGUUGCACGUAAACUUUGAUCCGAAGAUUUCCGAAUGAGGAAACUCACUUAGAGUAAUGUCUAAGUAUCAUUAAGUGAAUACAUAGCUUAAUGAGGGGAACUCAGGGAACUGAAACAUCUAAGUACCUGAAGGAAGAGAAAGAAAUUCGAUUCCGUAAGUAGCGGCGAGCGAACGCGGAUUAGCCCAAACCAAUAAAGUUUUCUUUAUUGGGGUUGCGGACAUAUCAUAACGAAGAGGUAUCGUAAUUGAAGAGGUUUGGAAAGACCCACCACAGAAGGUAAUAGUCCUGUAUGUUAAACGAGAAGACUUCAGAUAUGAUCCAGAGUACCACGGGACACGUGAAACCCUGUGGGAAGCAGGAGGGACCACCCUCCAAGGCUAAAUACUACCUAGUGACCGAUAGCGUAUAGUACCGUGAGGGAAAGGUGAAAAGAACCCCGGGAGGGGAGUGAAAUAGAACCUGAAACCCUGCACUUACAAGCUGUGGAAGCACAUUUCUUGUGUGACCGCGUACUUUUUGUAGAACGGGCCAACGAGUUACGUUAAGUAGCAAGGUUAAGCACUUAAGGUGCGGAGCCGUAGCGAAAGCGAGUUUUAACUGAGCGUUCAGUUACUUGACGUAGACCCGAAACCGGGCGACCUACCCAUGAGCAGGAUGAAGCGAAAGUAAAAUUUCGUGGAGGUCCGAACCCACGAGCGUUGAAAAGCUCGGGGAUGACUUGUGGGUAGCGGUGAAAUUCCAAUCGAGCCCGGAGAUAGCUGGUUCUCCCCGAAAUAGCUUUAGGGCUAGCCUCAAGGUGAGAGAUACGGAGGUAGAGCACUGAAUGUCCUAGGGGGUAUUGCACCUACCGAAGACUAUCAAACUCCGAAUGCCGUCAUCUUAUACUUGGGAGUCAGACUGUGGGUGAUAAGAUUCAUAGUCGAAAGGGCAACAGCCCAGAUCGUCAGCUAAGGUCCCUAAAUGUAAGUUAAGUGGUAAAGGAUGUGGGAUUGCACAGACAACCAGGAUGUUGGCUUAGAAGCAGCCACUCAUUCAAAGAGUGCGUAAUAGCUCACUGGUCGAGUGAUCCUGCGCCGAAGAUUUCCGGGGCUAAAACUUACUACCGAAGCUACGGCAUCAGUAAUGAUGGGUAGGGGAGCUUCCCAUACGGGUUGAAGCAUGACCGUAAGGACAUGUGGACAGUAUGGGAGUGAGAAUGUUGGCAUGAGUAGCGAGAUGUGGGUGAGAAUCCCACAGGCCGUAAACCCAAGGUUUCCAGGGGAAGGUUCGUCCGCCCUGGGUUAGUCGGGACCUAAGCUGAGGCCGAAAGGCGUAGGUGAUGGACAACAGGUUGAUAUUCCUGUACUACCGAUAACCGUUUGAGAGAAGGGAUGACACAGUAGGAUAAGCUAAGCACACUGUUGGUUAUGUGUGCCCAAGCAUUGAGGCAGUCAAAGUAGGCAAAUCCGCUUUGAUAAUGCUGGGAUGUGAUGGGGAGCGAAAUUUAGUAGCGAAGUAGCUGAUUUCACACUGUCAAGAAAAGUCUCUAUCGAGGUUAAAGGUACCCGUACCGCAAACCGACACAGGUGGGUGAGGAGAGUAUCCUAAGGCCAGCGAGAGAACUGUUGUUAAGGAACUCGGCAAAAUGACCCCGUAACUUAGGGAUAAGGGGUGCCACCAUCAGGUGGCCGCAGAGAAUAGGCCCAAGCGACUGUUUACCAAAAACAUAGGUUUCUGCUAAGUCGCAAGACGAUGUAUAGGAGCUGACGCCUGCCCGGUGCUGGAAGGUUAAGGGGAUCUGUUAGAGCAAUCGAAGCAGUGAACUUAAGCCCCAGUAAACGGCGGCCGUAACUAUAACGGUCCUAAGGUAGCGAAAUUCCUUGUCGGGUAAGUUCCGACCCGCACGAAAGGCGUAACGAUUUGGGCACUGUCUCAACAACAGACUCGGUGAAAUUGUAAUUCCGGUGAAGAUGCCGGAUACCUGCGACAGGACGGAAAGACCCCAUGGAGCUUUACUGUAGCUUGACAUUGGGUCUUGGUACUACAUGUACAGGAUAGGUGGGAGGCUUUGAAACCAGGACGCCAGUUUUGGCGGAGCCAUCCUUGGGAUACCACCCUUGUAGUACUGGGACUCUAACCAUAGGCCAUGAAUCUGGUCUUGGGACACUGUCAGGUGGGCAGUUUGACUGGGGCGGUCGCCUCCCAAAAGGUAACGGAGGCGCUCAAAGGUUCUCUCAGUACGGUCGGAAAUCGUACGUAGAGUGUAAAGGCAAAAGAGAGCUUGAUUGCAAGACAUACAGGUCGAGCAAGGAUGAAAAUCGGACUUAGUGAUCCGGUGGUUCUGCGUGGAAGGGCCAUCGCUCAACGGAUAAAAGCUACCCUGGGGAUAACAGGCUUAUCUCCCCCAAGAGUCCACAUCGACGGGGAGGUUUGGCACCUCGAUGUCGGCUCAUCACAUCCUGGGGCUGUAGUAGGUCCCAAGGGUUGGGCUGUUCGCCCAUUAAAGUGGUACGCGAGCUGGGUUCAGAACGUCGUGAGACAGUUCGGUCCCUAUCCGUCGCAGGCGUAGGAAAUUUGAGAAGACCUGUCCUUAGUACGAGAGGACCGGGAUGGACGUACCUCUGGUGUACCAGUUGUUCUGCCAAGGGCAUGGCUGGGUAGCUAUGUACGGAAUGGAUAAGCGCUGAAAGCAUCUAAGCGCGAAGCCAACUUCAAGAUAAGAUUUCCCACCGCAAGGGUAAGACCCCAGAAAGACUAUCUGGUUGAUAGGUCGAAGGUGUAAGUGCAG
rnacentral:rRNA from 1 species